AUGGCAAGCGAAGAGAAGAAGCCUGAUUCGUGGACGGCAGGACUGCAUGUCAAAACUCCCCCCUANACCCUCCAUUCCAGCCUGGAGUUGGUGGAUCCUCCCGCCGCGUCCAACCGCAAACUGGUCAUCGUGAUGGUAGGAGCGGUGCUAAUCCUGAGCAUCAGCAGUGUUGGAGUCCUUGUGGCGACGUAUCUUGGCAGAACAGCCUGCAUCCAGAGGGAUCCCUUUGGCUACCUGCCCCCCCAAGUCAANGUCCAGAACGAAGCCUCCUUGUUGCUUGCCCUCAGCGAACUGGGGGAGCAGGGUGUGGCACCAGGCAUCACCUGUGACCUGAGGAACCACUUGAUGGUGUACCACGGGCAGCCAGAAGGGUGCGUGGUGCGCAAAAUGGAAGCUUCUGAACCACUNCCUUCCUGCCAGGACCUAGAGAACUACUUCCAGGCUGUUCUAAAAAACGCCACCCUGGGAAUCACGACAGAGGUGCAGAUUGUGGGAACCGGAACUCUAGGCAGCCUGACGACUCUGCUCUGUAGCAACAAACCCACCUACUUAGUGAACAGUUUUGCCCCUACCCCAAGGCACCCCAUGAGCAGAUUUGCCUAAGAACAAACUGGAAUCCUAUCCUGGAGGAGGAGCAUCACUGGAAGAAGCUUGUGUUUGAUUUUUCUAUCCAUUUGCUGCUCUGAGAAUAAUCCAAUCAAAUAGCUGAAUAAUAGGAAUUAAAAAUUGAAACAAG
rnacentral:lncRNA from 1 species